rnacentral:lncRNA from 1 species
AACCCAGUGUAUUCCCACUUAGUGGGGUCUGGGGGGUAAGAUGUACGCAGUCCAUACCUCUACCUCUGAUGAGGUAGAAAGGCUGUUUCCGAAAGACCCCCGGCUCAAGUCACGAGAUAUCACACAAACACAUAGUACAGCACAGAAGCAGAUGACAUAACAUAGAUACGGCACCCAUAAGGAAUAUAAAACAGAGUAAAGCAUGAAUGCAGGAAUACAAAGCAGAGGAAAGCACACAUAUUCGUAAUAAACAUGGAACACGGAACACGGAACAUUGAAUACGGAAUCAUAACAGGAAUACACCCCCACCAAUUAAUCCCCUACACUAGCGACCCGAACUGGCCCUAAUCCUCUGCCGUAAUUCGCAUCUUCCAGACCUUCCUAUCUAGGGUCAUGUCCUCGGUGAGCUGUAACUGUUCCAUGUCCCGCCUAAUCACCUCACCCCAGUACUUCUUCGGUCUACCCCUACCCCGUCUAAAACCAUCCAACGCUAGCCUCUCACACCUACGGACCGGGGCAUCCAUGCCCCUCCUCUUCACGUGUCCGAACCAUCUCAAUCGUGCUUCCCGCAUCUUACACUCCACUGAAG